rnacentral:rRNA from 1 species
GUGCCAAGCAGCCGCGGUAAUUCCAGCUCCAAUAGCGUAUAUUAAAGUUGUUGCCGUUAAAAAGCUCGUAGUCGAACUUCGGCGCCUGAUGGCCGGUCCGCCUUCUUGGUGUGUACUUGCUCAUCGGGCGCUUACCUCCUGGUGAACUCUGAUGUCCUUUACUGGGUGUCAGAGCAAACCAGGACGUUUACUUUGAAAAAAUUAGAGUGUUCAAAGCAGGCCUACGCCCGAAUACAUUAGCAUGGAAUAAUAGAAUAGGACGCGCGUUCCCAUUUUGUUGGUUUCUGAGAUCGCCGUAAUGAUUAAUAGGGAUAGUUGGGGGCAUUUGUAUUCCGUCGUCAGAGGUGAAAUUCUUGGAUUGCCGGAAGACAAACUACUGCGAAAGCAUUUGCCAAGGAUGUUUUCAUUGAUCAAGAACGAAGGAAGGGGGAUCGAAAACGAUCAGAUACCGUUGUAGUCUCUUCUGUAAACUAUGCCAAUUGGGGAUUAGCACAGGAUUUUCAAUGACUGUGUUAGCACCCGAAGAGAAAUCUUUAAAUGAGGUUCGGGGGGGAGUAUGGUCGCAAGGCUGAAACUUAAAGGAAUUGACGGAAGGGCACCACCAGGUGUGGAGCCUGCGGCUUAAUUUGACUCAACACGGGGAAACUCACCAGGUCCAGACACAAUAAGGAUUGACAGAUUGAUAGCUCUUUCUUGAUCUUGUGGUUGGUGGUGCAUGGCCGUUCUUAGUUGGUGGAGUGAUUUGUCUGGUUAAUUCCGAUAACGAACGAGACCUUAACCUGCUAAAUAGACCAGUCGACUUUGGUUGACUGCUGUCUUCUUAGAGGGACUAUCAGCGUUUAGCUGAUGGAAGUUUGAGGCAAUAACAGGUCUGUGAUGCCCAAA